UCCAAAUUGGUUCAGUGGUCAGAAUACGCCGCUCUCAUGAGCACCAAAAAAAGUGGACCGGCGAGACCCGGGUUCAAUUCCCGGAUUUGGAU